UGAUGAUUGAAUUGUUUAAUUGAUUCAUUAGUAUUGAUGGAGCAUGUCUGCAGUGGCCAUGAUGGGUUGGUUCACAUAAAGCAAAUUCCAUGGGUUGAUGAAACUGUUGUGAUCAGCAGAAGCAGAGGCCUGAUGAUGAUGAAGAAGGGUGUUGUUGGGUUCAUGGGUUUCAAAGACCCCAUUGCUGCUGUUGAUGUAGUUGAGGAUCUCAGUCAGAGACUCCAGUCUUUGGCUGAGCUCUUCCAUCUGAGCCUUCAAGACUGAAUUUUCAGCCUCAACAUUCAUCAAGUGCUGGGUCGUGAUGUUUAUGCUGGUCAAGAUUUGGUUGUUUUCCUUCCUCAGCUGCGUCACUUGGCCCAUCAGAUCAUCCAAGUGCUGCUGCUUUCGCAUCCGGGACCGCCUCGCCGAUUCGCGGUUUGAUUGCAUUCUUUUCCUUUUUCUCUGAUCCAUCAGAUGCUGCAAGUCCCCUUCAGAACCGGAGUUCUGAAGCUGAGUGGAACCAGAGGAAUUCCCACUAGAGGAAGCCAUAACAGAGACACAGAGGACCAAACUAUUAAGAUCAACAGAAACUUUAUAUAUAUAUAUAUAUAUAUAAGGUGAUUAUAUUAUAUUAUAUUAUAUAGAUAUAUCUGAGGGAGUGAUGGGAGCUGAUUUAUGAAAACACAUAAAACCAGUAGAGGAAGACAACAGAGAAAGAUUGAACUAAAUGGGUCCUGCGCCUGAGGGAGGAAUCGACCAUAAACCCGGAACGGAGGAUUUCACUGAGAACUGGAGACAUGAAUC
rnacentral:lncRNA from 1 species